ACCAGCAGCCAUAUCACCCUGCAACUCACAACUCACAACUGGCAGCCCACUGAAGCUAAACAGGUGUGAGCCUGGUUAGUACCUGGAUGGGAGACCUCCUGAGAAAAACUAAGAUUGCUGCUGGAA
rnacentral:rRNA from 1 species